UCCACAGCUCUGAAGUCCUCUAGUAAUUCACAGAGGAAACUCAACAUGGAUGUGCCAUACCCAUCACCAAUGCCCGUAACAAUUUCCCUGCCCACCCAGCGUGCCUCAGUCUUGACUUGGAGGGACCACCUCUAGGAACAAAGGAGGUCAGUCUCCAUGGCCCACUCAGUCUUUGCUCUCU
rnacentral:sRNA from 1 species